UCUUAAUUUGAUAAAAUGCUCUUUCGGUAGAAAACUUAGUUAUACACUGUUGACCUAGUUCCAUCUUCAUCUUUUCCAACUCUCUCUCUGCAUCAUAUAGUUGUUCACGAUCCAUUCACUCUUCCUACAAAGAAUUUCUAUGUCAUCCACUCCAAAAUCCAAGAUUAGUACCCCUUUCAAAACGGUGUGGAAGCAUGUCUCAGUCAAAGACUAGGAGUUGAACCUUGGAAACACAAUUUUUAUGGAAGGAUCAUUUGGUCUAAGGGUUUUAGAAAGUUCAAGAUUACCAUCUCUCUCAAAACGGUCAAAUCUUUUGUAGAAGCAGUCAAUAAUGUUUGUAACAUAUCUCAAAGUCAACUUCCGAUUCCCUAUGUUAAGGGAGUUAGACUUGCCAUUUCGAUUCUAGAAGAAAAAUAUAGAUGAGUAGAAUCUUGUAAACACAAAUUUCAUGGAAAGAUCAUUUGACUUAAGGGCUAUUCUCCUCUAUCAGUGGUUAGUUUCCGUCUUAAACUACGGUCUCUUUGGAGCUCAAUUGGAAAAUGAGGUAUUAUUUCUUUGGUUUAAGAUUUUUUCGAUUUUUCUUUCUCUAGCUUGGAAGAUGUGCACAUAGUGAGACCAGUAAACUUAUGGAAUCUGAACCCUAGAAUCAUGAAGCUCUUCCUUGGACAAAAGAUUAUGUCCUUUUUACACUUAAACAUACAUCAACCCAUGUACGAGUUUGAAUCCAUGGCUUAUCUCAAGAAUACUAGAGACAAAAGAUUAAUUUUGCUAUUUCCAGCAACAUUGGGACAUUUAUAUGCAUUGAAAAAGAUGAGAACAAUAUAGGCUGAAUUUGGGCCAAUAUAGGUUGAACUUGAAAAAAUAUGAGAAUAAUAUCUAUGAGAGUUCACGUGAUAUGAUGGCUUUAAACUGGUAACCUCAAAGAGAAAGAUCAAGAUAUGAUGGCUUUAAAAUGGUAACCUCAAAGAGAAAGAUCAAGAAACAUGUCUCAAAGAAAAAAGUCAUAACUAGGUUGAACCAUAGUAAUUUCAAAUUGUUCCAAUGAAGUGUCUCUUUUAGAAUAUUAGAGGUAUUGCCGAUGUAUCAUCUAGAUUGGCUCAUGAAAGAAUUAUGGUUAUUAACAAACCUCACUUGGUUUGCAUCGUUGAUCCCUAGAUGAAUUUCUACAACUUUCCCUUAAACCUUUUAACUUUUUGAUAUGAAUAAGAGAAUAAUAUGAUGUCAAACCUUUUUGGUGUUUUUGUAAACUUCACCUUGAUCCUAUCAUAUGAUGACCAACAAGUAUCCUUCAGUAUUAAUGAUCAAGUGUUUUGGUUUCUCUUC